rnacentral:rRNA from 1 species
GGAGGUAGUGACAAUAAAUCACAAUGCGGGACUAUUCGUCUUGCAAUUGGAUUGAGAACAAUGUACAACUCUUAUCGAUAAGCCAUUGGAGGGCAAGUCUGGUGCCAGCAGCCGCGGUAAUUCCAGCUCCAAUAGCGUAUAUUAACGUUGUUGCAGUUAAAAAGCUCGUAGUUGAAGUGUGGGUGGUGCCUACUUCAUGACUUCGGUUGUGAGGCAGAUCACUACCCCCUUCCAGUAUCCAGUAGUGGGUAUUCAGUUACUUACUAUUGUGUGUUGGUCGUUUACUGUGAGAAAAUUAGAGUGUUCAAAGCAGGCGUUUGCUUGAAUAGAUUAGCAUGGAAUAAUAAUUGAAGGCUUUCGUGUUCGAUUUGAUUGGUUUGUUCAUGGAAGCAAGGUUAAAAGGAACAGUUGGGGGUAUUCAUAUUCACUAGUUAGAGGUGAAAUUCUCGGAUUUAUGGAAGAUGAACAAGUGCGAAAGCA